CCUGAGCUGAAGUUCUGUGAUACACUUAGACUCUGAGUGUGGGGAAGUCAGUGCAUAACAGAACUUUGGCUCGG
ensembl:miRNA microRNA 152